GUGGCCUUGAGCCGUGGCUUUCGGAGCUAACGCGUUAAGUAGACCNCCUGGGGAGUACGGUCGCAAGAUUAAAACUCAAAUGAAUUGACGGGGGNCCGCACAAGCGGUGGAGCAUGUGGUUUAAUUCGAUGCAACGCGAAGAACCUUACCUACUCUUGACAUCCAGAGANNUNGCUAGAGAUAGCUUAGUGCCUUCGGGAACUCUGAGACAGGUGCUGCAUGGCUGUCGUCAGCUCGUGUUGUGAAAUGUUGGGUUAAGUCCCGCAACGAGCGCAACCCUUAUCCUUGUUUGCCAGCACGUAAUGGUGGGAACUCCAGGGAGACUGCCGGUGAUAAACCGGAGGAAGGUGGGGACGACGUCAAGUCAUCAUGGCCCUUACGAGUAGGGCUACACACGUGCUACAAUGGCGCAUACAGAGGGCANCCAACCAGCGAUGGUGAGCGAAUCCCAAAAAGUGCGUCGUAGUCCGGAUUGGAGUCUGCAACUCGACUCCAUGAAGUCGGAAUCGCUAGUAAUCGUGAAUCAGAAUGUCACGGUGAAUACGUUCCCGGGCCUUGUACACNCC
rnacentral:rRNA from 1 species